GCUGACACAUCCUGGCCAAUCUCCAGCAGACCCUCUCUCCCAGACCCUCCCACCUCCUGGACAGCAUCCAUGUUGAAGCUGCCUUCAACAUGGAUGCUGUCCAGGAAGUGCGAGGGUCUGGGAGGGAGGGUCUGCUGGAGAUUGGCCGCGAUGUGUCAG
rnacentral:miRNA from 1 species